AUUGAACGCUGGCGGCAGGCCUAACACAUGCAAGUCGAGCGGAUGAAGGGAGCUUGCUCCUGGAUUCAGCGGCGGACGGGUGAGUAAUGCCUUGGAAUCUGCCUGGUAGUGAGGGAUAACGUCCGGAAACGGGCGCUAAUACCGCAUACGUCCUGAGGGAGAAAGUGGGGGAUCUUCGGACCUCACGCUAUCAGAUGAGCCUAGGUCGGAUUAGCUAGUUGGUGGGGUAAAGGCCUACCAAGGCGACGAUCCGUAACUGGUCUGAGAGGAUGAUCAGUCACACUGGAACUGAGACACGGUCCAGACUCCUACGGGAGGCAGCAGUGGGGAAUAUUGGACAAUGGGCGAAAGCCUGAUCCAGCCAUGCCGCGUGUGUGAAGAAGGUCUUCGGAUUGUAAAGCACUUUAAGUUGGGAGGAAGGGCAGUAAGUUAAUACCUUGCUGUUUUGACGUUACCAACAGAAUAAGCACCGGCUAACUUCGUG
rnacentral:rRNA from 1 species